rnacentral:rRNA from 1 species
GACAGAGGGUGCAAACGUUGUUCGGAAUUACUGGGCAUAAAGAGCACGUAGGUGGUUCGCUAAGUCACGUGUGAAAUCCCCCGGCUUAACCGGGGAAUUGCGCGUGAUACUGGCGAACUCGAGGCGGGUAGGGGUGAGCGGAACUCCAGGAGGAGCGGUGAAAUGCGUAGAUAUCUGGAGGAACACCGGUGGCGAAAGCGGCUCACUGGACCCGAUCUGACACUGAGGUGCGAAAGCUAGGGUAGCAAACGGG